ACCAGGGAGCAGAAUCCAGGGCCACCUACAACCUGGCCUCCAAGGGCUGCAGCUGGCCUCUGUGAGAGUUAGAAAAAGUCACCCUGUUGGGGCGCAGUUAAGCAAGGCACCGCUGUAUGAGGAAAAAGUCACACUUUCCUCCUGGUGGCUUGGAUUUCAGCCCCACUUACCAUUUGGCCAGGCAUCUACUAUACUCGGUGGCCCUCUGGCUUGAUCUUAUUACUCUCAUUUCUUUCUCACUGCUCCCCUACUUUCCUCUCCAGACACAUGGCCUGCUUUCCUGAACAAAGCUGACAUGUUCCCCCCAUACCCAUUUGCUUAUGCCUUCCCCUCCUCAUCAUCCACCCUUCUUUCAAGGCUUGUUUAGAGUCUUACAUCCUCUGAACUCCUAGAUAACUUAUGGUCUGCACCAGUCAUUCAUUUGGCACUUAUGCAUUUGAAAAUCAUCCCUAUGACAAGAUACAGUGAGUUUCAUUCCCCCUGUUGGACUGUGAGCUUUGAAAAGGCAGGGAUCAGAUGGCAUUUUUACCAUGUUUAGUUCAGGGGGCUUAAUAAGGGCUAAAGUUGUUGAUAAUGGUAACAAUGACUUACAAGAAAGUUUCCCAAAAACACCCAAUAGGUAAGUGGGUUCUAGACAGCGAUUGUUAAGUAAGCCUUGUUGGUCUCAUUUGAAUUCCUAACACUGGGAAGUAAUAUAACUCAGUUUCUUCUCAAAUACAGUGGUCCCUUCAUAUCUCAAAAGUGGGAUUCACCUCUCAAUUGAGGGUUUUAUCUGAGAUUUUUAGGAAUCCCCAAAUCCUACUCCCUGAAUAUCAUAUCCUACUAUAAAAAGUUUACUUCCUGCCUAAGUAUCAUCCAGUCCUCAGCCUUUGGUUUCCUCCUCACUUCCUUCCCCAGUACUAGGAGUUGCAGUUUGUUUUUUGUUUGUUUGUUUUUUUCCUGGCAUUUUGACAAACUUCAAAAGCAGUCACUGCGAACCAGCAAUCGACAGUCCUCCUUGCUUCUCUCCCUGCUUCCCUCCCAGGCUUCUCCCUCUCUCCCAGCCUCAGCGCCAGAGUGUUUUGGUAUCUUGGUGGAAUCACAUAUCGGUUACUACACAUCUCAGCUUGUAGACCAGAGGGCCUUCUCUUUGCACAGACCUCCCCUAAGCUACACAGGAAGUUGCUCGAGUGAUCUUUUCAGAGUCUCUGCCACACUCUGUUCCUUCCUCAACUGAGGGAGAAGAAAUGCAGGAUUCCCAGUGUGUCUUCCUAGAACAAAGUUCAAACCUGCGUUAAAAGCAGUGACCUGCUUUUAAGCCUAAAACUUGCUUUCCUCUUAUCUCCUACCCAUUUCUGCUAGAGAUUAGGCAGGCCAUAAAUCAUAUUGAGCCUCCAACCUGGGACCUGAGGCACCGUGUACUCUCCCAGAGGAGGGAACCAACUUCAGAAGCCUCACCCAACCCAAUAGGCUGGGCGUCCAUGAGCCAUCACCACCUCUGUCCUGAAGCUCCAGCCAGUUCAGAGAGAUUCCCAUUGUUUGGUGCUUACGCUAUCUUUGAGACACGUCCUGAUGGCCGACUUGUGGACACCACCUAGUGAGCUUUUCUGUGUGUGUACCUAUGAGUCGGAAUCAACGGAAUGGCACAAAAUAACACCACCGCCACCUCCUCAGCCCUAAUCUGCUCAGUUUUCCUGCCUUGCAACAGUUUCUAAAGCAGGUCCAUCUCAAACUCUAGGGGAUUCCAUGCUCCCUCGUACUUCACAAAGUCUCCCUGAAGGUGACCCCUGUGACUUGAAGGUAGCCUGAAUACAGCUGCCCAGGACAAGCCAAUUGUCCCUGCAGCGAAGUCAGAGAGCUUCAGAGGCCAAGCAACGAGUCUGGGUUAGAAGAGAAGACCAGGGCUAAGUGGUAAGCCAGAAGCUGGGAAGAAAGAGCAGAGUUGACUCUCAAUCCAGAUUCUUGCUGACCACAAGCUAGUGAGGAGCCUCGGUUUCCCUUUGAACAAGGGUGGGAAUCACCUUAGAAGCUUACAUAAAGUUUGCACUUUUUCUUUUCUUCCUUUCAAAAGCCCCAGGCCUUGUUAAGAUUGACUUGAGGCUAAACGUCAGGUCUCCAUUUCAAGAGGGAAAUCUAUGGAAGCCUCAAGAUGUGGAGCAGAGAGCAAUGUGGGGAAUACAUCUAGCCUUUCUUCCACUGAAAGCUGACUGCCUGGAUGCUGCUGUGGUACCGGAAAAGUACCCAGGACUCCACUGAGCAAGCAGAGGAGCUGCGGGCCUCACCCUGGUACAGCUUCCAGAUGUGGCCAGCACACCCCAGUACACACCAUCUCAAAGGGCAGGGGCGUCCAGAGGCAUCUCAAGUUUUAUCACAAAUAGUGCCAUCCGACAGUCCAGUAAGGGGAGCUUUUCAGAAAGUUAUGAAAGAAGAUGUGACCCACAGAAGCAAGAGGACGACUGGACUUUCUAAAAAGCCAGUCUGCAAGCAAAAGGGAAGCCCACAGAUCUACACAGAGGACAAGCCUCACUUUGCCAGUUCUGUUUCUUUCAGUACCUGUCUCUGUCUCUUCAGACUCAGCAGCUUCUGCUUUCUGGCAGAGGUUGUGCUCGCACGGUUUGCCCGUUUACGAACCUUGGCUGUUCCUAACACGUUUUCUGAAGCAUUUAAGUCCCCAGCCAAAAUACCUGCCCCCUCCCCCCCGAAAGGACUCUCUCCUCUCCCUGUACAUCUUUCCGUGUACACCCCCUGCCUGCCGAGAGGAGUCUCCUAAAUAGGACCAGGGGAGAUCUCCAGGAGUUGGCGAAGGAGGCAUCCGAGCAGCGGGCAUUUGCCCUUCUUCUUGGCAACAGAGAUGAGGCGCGGACUCCCUCCUCCGAGCCAGGGCAGCUGCGUGAGCCUGCCACUCCGGAGCUUGCUGAAAAGGGACCCCACCCCCUGGAAUUAAUGUGGCUGCAGCAAACACUUGUACUUUUGGAAGAGAAUUCUAAUCAAAAAAAGAAGAGAAUAGAAGAGCCAAGCUGGGCUGAGGAAAGGCUGGACAUGCUGAUGGAGACUGCACUCAGCUCAGGGAAGCUGAGGAAGGGGCUGGGUGUCUGUACCUGUAAGAAGGGUCAGGCAGAAAUUGCCUGGGGUGGUGCCAGGGGAAGCUGGGCCAGGACACUGGUGUAAUCACUGAGGUCUAGAAAGAAGCUCAAAUAUUUUCAUACCUAAAGAGUAUAUGAUGUAGAGCACCUGAGAGGGACUACUUAUGCAGUAGGUCUCAACUGAGGCUGGAAAUUAGAAUGACCAAGGGAGUGAGCUUUGAAGAAAAUUCUAUGUCUGAGCCCCACCCCAGACCAAUAGGGAAUGGGGCCUGGUGUCACUAUUUAUCUUCAGUACCGAGGUAAAUCCUAUACGUUGUUAUGUUGUUGUUAGUCAGUUCUGACUCAUAGUGACCCCAUGCACAACAGAAUGAAACACUGCCCAUUCCAGCUCCAUCCUCACAAUUGUUGCUAUGCUUUAGUACAU